AACGCACGAGACCUGCGGACCUGCGGAGGGAUCAUUACAGAGUUGCAAAACUCCAAACCAUUGUGAACUUACCUUUGCCGUUGCUUCGGCGGGCGGCCCGGGUCCCGACCCGGCGCCCCCCGGCCCCGUCAGGGGCGCCCGCCGGAGGUAAACCAAACUCUUGAAUUGUAUGGCCUCUCUGAGUCUUCUGUACUGAAUAAGUCAAAACUUUUAACAACGGAUCUCUAGAUCGGAAGAGCA
rnacentral:misc_RNA from 1 species